UACGGGGGGGGCUAGCGUUGUUCGGAAUUACUGGGCGUAAAGGGCGCGUAGGCGGUCUGCUAAGUUGGAUGUGAAAACUCUGGGCUUAACCCAGAGCCUGCAUUCAAUACUGACAGGCUAGAGUUCUGGAGGGGAUAGCGGAAUUCCUGGUGUAGCGGUGAAAUGCGUAGAUAUCAGGAGGAACACCGGUGGCGAAGGCGGCUAUCUGGACGGUUUCUGACGCUAAGACGCGAAAGCGUGGGGAGCAAACAGG
rnacentral:rRNA from 1 species